rnacentral:rRNA from 1 species
CCUACGGGUGGCAGCAGUGAGGAAUAUUGGUCAAUGGACGAGAGACUGAACCAGCCAAGCAGCGUGAGGGAGGAAGGCCCUAAGGGUUGUAAACUUCUUUUGUAAGGGAAUAAAGCGAGGCACGUGUGCCUGGAUGAGUGUACUUGAUGAAUAAGGAUCGGCUAACUCAGUGCCAGCAGCCGCGGUAAUACGGAGGAUCCGAGCGUUAGCCGGAUUUAUUGGGUUUAAAGGGAGCGUAUGUGGGUUGUUAAGUCAGUUGUGAAAGUUAGCGGCUCAACCGUGAGAUUGCAAUUGAUACUGGCAGUCUCGAGUACAGGAGAGGUAGGCGGAAUGCGCGGUGUAGCGGUGAAAUGCUUAGAUAUCACGAAGAACUCCGAUUGCGAAGGCAGCAUACUA